rnacentral:rRNA from 1 species
CAGUAGCCACGGUAAUACGUAGGUGGCAAGCGUUGUCCGGAUUUAUUGGGCGUAAAGCGAGCGCAGGCGGUUUCUUAAGUCUGAUGUGAAAGCCCCCGGCUCAACCGGGGAGGGUCAUUGGAAACUGGGAGACUUGAGUGCAGAAGAGGAGAGUGGAAUUCCAUGUGUAGCGGUGAAAUGCGUAGAUAUAUGGAGGAACACCAGUGGCGAAGGCGGCUCUCUGGUCUGUAACUGACGCUGAGGCUCGAAAGCGUGGGGAGCGAACAGGAUUAGAUACCCGAGUAGUCCCUGUCUCUUAUAC